GACGAACGCUGGCGGCGUGCCUAAUACAUGCAAGUCGAACGAGAGCGACCGGUGCUUGCACUGGUCAAUCUAGUGGCGAACGGGUGAGUAACACGUGGGUAACCUGCCCAUCAGAGGGGGACAACAUCCGGAAACGGAUGCUAAAACCGCAUAGGUCUUCGAGCCGCAUGGCUUGAAGAGGAAAAGAGGCGCAAGCUUCUGCUGAUGGAUGGACCCGCGGUGCAUUAGCUAGUUGGUGAGGUAACGGCUCACCAAGGCCGUGAUGCAUAGCCGACCUGAGAGGGUGAUCGGCCACAUUGGGACUGAGACACGGCCCAAACUCCUACGGGAGGCAGCAGUAGGGAAUCUUCCGCAAUGGACGCAAGUCUGACGGAGCAACGCCGCGUGAGUGAAGAAGGUUUUCGGAUCGUAAAACUCUGUUGUUAGAGAAGAACAAGUGCUAGAGUAACUGUUAGCGC
rnacentral:rRNA from 1 species